AUGAACGCUAGCGACAGGCUUAACACAUGCAAGUCGAGGGGUAACAGGGUGUAGCAAUACACCGCUGACGACCGGCGCACGGGUGAGUAACGCGUAUGCAACCUGCCUUUGACAGAGGGAUAGCCCAUGGAAACGUGGAUUAAUACCUCAUAGUCUCUUUUUUCUUCCUGGGAAAUAGAGUAAAACGUCAGUGGUCAAAGAUGGGCAUGCGUCCUAUUAGGCAGUUGGCGGGGUAACGGCCCACCAAACCGAUGAUAGGUAGGGGUUCUGAGAGGAAGGUCCCCCACACUGGUACUGAGACACGGACCAGACUCCUACGGGAGGCAGCAGUGAGGAAUAUUGGUCAAUGGUCGAGAGACUGAACCAGCCAAGUCGCGUGAGGGAAGACUGCCCUAUGGGUUGUAAACCUCUUUUCUACUGGGAGAAUAAGCCUUAUGUAUAAGGUGAUGACAGUACAGUAGGAAUAAGCAUCGGCUAACUCCGUGCCAGCAGCCGCGGUAAUACGGAGGAUGCGAGCGUUAUCCGGAUUUAUUGGGUUUAAAGGGUGCGUAGGCGGCUUUAUAAGUUAGUGGUAAAAUUUCGGAGCUUCACUCCGGUCCGCCAUUAAAACUGUAGAGCUAGAGAAUGGACGAGGUAGGCGGAAUAAGUUAAGUAGCGGUGAAAUGCAUAGAUAUAACUUAGAACUCCGAUAGCGAAGGCAGCUUACCAGACCAUAACUGACGCUGAUGCAGGAGAGCGUGGGUAGCGAACAGGAUUAGAUACCCUGGUAGUCCACACAGUAAACGAUGAAUACUCGCUGUUUGCGAUAUACAGUAAGCGGCCAAGCGAAAGCGUUAAGUAUUCCACCUGGGGAGUACGCCGGCAACGGUGAAACUCAAAGGAAUUGACGGGGGCCCGCACAAGCGGAGGAACAUGUGGUUUAAUUCGAUGAUACGCGAGGAACCUUACCUGGGUUUAAAUGUAUAUUGCAUAAUCUGGAAACAGUUUUUCUCUUCGGAGCUAUAUACAAGGUGCUGCAUGGUUGUCGUCAGCUCGUGCCGUGAGGUGUCGGGUUAAGUCCCAUAACGAGCGCAACCCUUACCGUUAGUUGCUAGCAUGUAAUGAUGAGCACUCUAGCGGGACUGCCACCGUAAGGUGAGAGGAAGGGGGGGAUGACGUCAAAUCAGCACGGCCCUUACAUCCAGGGCGACACACGUGUUACAAUGGCCAUAACAGCGGGUAGCUACCGGGUGACCGGAUGCAAAUCUCGAAAAUUGGUCUAAGUUCGGAUUGGAGUCUGCAACCCGACUCCAUGAAGUUGGAUUCGCUAGUAAUCGCGCAUCAGCCAUGGCGCGGUGAAUACGUUCCCGGGCCUUGUACACACCGCCCGUCAAGCCAUGGAAGCUGGGAGUACCUGAAGUCCGUAACCGCGAGGAUCGGCCUAGGGUAAUACCGGUAACUGGGGCU
rnacentral:rRNA from 1 species